UUUUUGUUGAAUAUAAAUCAAAGAAAACUUUGAUGAGUUAAAUUCGUUCAUGGCAAUCCAAUGAGAAUGAGGUCCAUCAAACCAAAGGCUCUGAUAGCGUCAUGUAUUGCGCAUGCUCCACGCCCACCGGAUGCGGAAAGGUCCGUUGAGAAGUUAACGAGCGCACGUGGAGUUACUUCUUUGGCAUACCUGAUAGUGAGAAAUACAUCACAAAAUAAAGCCACAUUCCCAUGCUCUGAGAUUCUUAUGCACCUCCUCAACAAUACAUGUGACGUGUAUGUGGCAGUGCAAGCAUUGUGUUACCAGAGAGAGCAGCAGGUACAAAUUACUUCAACAUUAUAAACUACAUCAUCAUUACGGAAUAGGUCAACAUUAUCUGUGCAUAUAUGUUAAUUGUCCGUGCACAUUUAAGACUUGGAGUGGACUGAACACUCAUGUCUAUAAAGCUCAUUCAUCUCAGUUUACACAGACAGCUUCAAGUUCAGUAACUUUUA